UUAAAAKUUAUGUUCUUUAAAUUUAAAAAAUUUGGCGGUGUUUUAGUCUAGUUAGAGGAACCUGUGUUAUAAACGAUACAACACGCAUUAUUUUCACUUAUUUUAGUAGAUCAGCUUGUAUACCGUCAUUAUAANGAUAAUUUAAGAGAGAAUAUUAUUGAAAUCAUAUUAUUGAGUAUAUUAGAUCAAGGUGCAGCUUAUGGAUAAGUAAACAUGGGUUACAAUAAAAUUUAUUUAGUAUGAAUUAAGUGUUUAAAUAUGUUUAUGAAGGAGGAUUUAAUUGUAAGGGGGAG
rnacentral:rRNA from 1 species